GACGAACGCUGGCGGCGUGCUUAACACAUGCAAGUCGAACGGAAAGGCCCUGCUUUUGUGGGGUGCUCGAGUGGCGAACGGGUGAGUAACACGUGAGUAACCUGCCCUUGACUUUGGGAUAACUUCAGGAAACUGGGGCUAAUACCGGAUAGGAGCUCCUGCUGCAUGGUGGGGGUUGGAAAGUUUCGGCGGUUGGGGAUGGACUGGCGGCUUAUCAGCUUGUUGGUGGGGUAGUGGUUUACCAAGGCUUUGACGGGUAGCCGGCCUGAGAGGGUGACCGGCGACAUUGGGACUGAGAGACGGCCCAGACUCCUACGGGAGGCAGCAGGGGGGAAUAUUGCACAAUGGGCGGAAGUCUGAUGCAGCAACGCCGCGUGCGGGAUGACGGCCUUCGGGUUGUAAACCGCUUUCGCCUGUGACGAAGCGUGUGUGACGGUAAUGGGUAAAGAAGCACCGGCUAACUACGUG
rnacentral:rRNA from 1 species